rnacentral:rRNA from 1 species
UGGGGAAUAUUGGGCAAUGGGGCGCAAGCCUGACCCAGCAACGCCGCGUGAAGGAAGAAGGUCUUCGGAUCGUAAACUUCUAUCCUUGGUGAAGAUAAUGACGGUAGCCGAGAAGGAAGCCCCGGCUAACUACGUGCCAGCAGCCGCGGUAAUACGUAGGGGGCAAGCGUUGUCCGGAAUGAUUGGGCGUAAAGGGCGCGUAGGCGGCCUGUUAAGUCUGGAGUGAAAGUCCUGCUUUUAAGGUGGGAACUGCUUUGGAUACUGAUGGGCUUGAGUGCAGGAGAGGUAAGCGGAAUUCCCGGUGUAGCGGUGGAAUGCGUAGAGAUCGGGAGGAACACCAGUGGCGAAGGCGGCUUACUGGACUGUAACUGACGCUGAGGCACGAAAGCGUGGGGAGCAAACAGGAUUAGAUACCCUGGUAGU